UUUUUUUUUUUUUUUUUUUUAAUAGAAAUACCUACCCCUCAAGAGUUAUCAUGGUUUACCUCUCCUAUAUCUUUUUCUCAGUACCUGCAGCGGAUCAGUGCAUUCUACUGAUCAGCAAGGCUAACAUCGUUCUUUUUUUAACAUGGACUUCAUGAAUGGAUAAAUUGUUUUAGAAAAGAAAAUGAAUACACAAAGCUUGACUUUUAGGAAGGUGUGAGAACGGCGCAGGAGACGUUUUACAGGUGGAAGAAACACCCACUUUCGUAGGUCAAAGGAGGCCUGUUAGAGACCCUCUAACAAGCACAAGGGUUAAUAAACUGACCACAAAAACCUCCAGAUGCAUGUGGAGAACCGGACAUGACCUGAAUAACACUGACUAUACUUACCGUUUGUCCAAAGAAAAAAAAAAAAAAAAAAAGGAAAAAAAACAAACAAACCCAAACACGUGUAUAUGCUGUUUUCAAAUGACAUAUUGCAAACUGUAUAUAUAAUGUUUUAACACAUGUUUAUCUGCACAGCCAGCACAGGACCCAUCUGCAUGAUGAAAACUUUGAUGAGCCCAUCACAUUUCUGGAAUGUUUACGCCGUAUAGAACAGGAAGAAGACAAAAAACAGGCAACUACAAUACAGGCUGUGUGUGAUAGUGGAAAGCCAGACCCCCUUUUUAGCAACUGGUCAUCUGCACCUCAGGUUUCAGGUAAAUCACUCCAUGUGCCUCUCAGCAAAAAGCCUCUUCAGCCUGGGUUAUCCUUAAAUCUAAUGGGGAUGUUGAGAGUGCCCAUUGUACAUGCAUGGCUGGUGUGGCAGAGAAAUGUGCACAUGUGGCAGUUCUCCUGUACAAAAUUGACACUGCAGUGUGUCUACAAGGGAACAUCACCUAUAGAUGUUCAUUCUUACUGGAUAAUGCUCUCAAAUGUGCAGAAAGUGCAAGGAGUCCUGGGCCACGCAAUCGACUGCACCACCAGUGCAGCAAGGAAAAGGGCACUUGACCAGUCCAUCAGUGAAGGACAAAGCAAGUGUUCUGUACCCAAAAUCUGGACAUGUACUGGUGGCAGUUCGCUAAAGCAAAGCACACUGAUUGAGUUAAAAACCUCUCACAGAUCUUUUGCAUGCACACCGGUCAGGACUGCUCUGUUUUGGAGGAAUUCUGCCACUUAUAUCCAGACCCUGUCCAGCCUUGUGUCCUCCCCAAAUCCCUUCUACAUCUCCAUGACCCACAGAUGACUGUACUUCUGGCAGCACCAUGAGCAGGCAGCGGCUGAUAGCGCUCUGGCAAAAUUCACUUUUUUCUACGGUGUAUUGUUUUGUUUGGCGACCGAGGUACGAUGGGCACCGCCUACCUACAACAGACAAUUCCUGCUCAGAAUCGGGGGGGGGGCAGAAAAAAAAAAAAAAGAAAAGCACAAUUUCCACAACUAAUCUACCGACAGCGGGGCCUACAUAAAACAGCUCUCAGAACAGCCAGAACCAACCUCUCUCGCCCCAUCCGAAAAGCAAAGCGUGCACAUGCACAGAAGAUACAGAGCCAAUUCCACAAAACAAAGGACUGUUUCUGGCAAGUUAUUCAGGCCGGAGACUUAGCGGAAAGACAGUAAAUGGUAGCAUAGAAUUUAAACAUUUUCAUCUUUUCAAGCUUCCAUUAUACCAAAUAUACCAAUCAAUUGUCAUAAAAUUAACAAUAUCUGCUUAAUCAUCUCCAAAACUGGAGGACAGUGGGGAGAGAUUAGACGUGCUCCAAGAUUACAUCGACCAGUGCUUCAAGAAUAUGAAGAAGGCCCAGAGCGCAUCUUCCCCGGCAAAAAAACGACACCCCAAUAUCAAAAAGACGUCACCCUGCAGACUCCCCUGGCGCAACAUCACCUGCCAGCAAAGACAUUGCAGACAUCCUGGAGUCAAUUGACACGCGACUGUCCAGCUUCGAUGCUAGGUCGUCCCUGGUGGAGAUUUUACAUUGAGAAUUUAAAUCUCUGAGAGAGUCCCUGAAGUUCAGCCAGCAGCAGGUGGAAAUGCUUGCUGACGAAAACGCCACGUUACGGGUGUCGGUCAAGUCUCUUACGGAGAAUGCGACCAAACAUCACAGAAAAUUAACAAAAAAAAAAAAAAAAAAAAAAAAAAAAAAAAGCAGCAUGAGAGAUAACGGUUUUCUGGUAUCACAGCAUCUGCUGGCGAGGUCGUGGAAGAAACAGUGAGAGGCUUCAUUAAAAGCACAUUGUAGCGUUUUGUGGGAAUUUGCAUAAUUAUGAUUAAGGAACUGACCUCCCAGCCCACUGUUCCUU